UACGGGGGGAGCAAGCGUUGUUCGGAUUUACUGGGCGUAAAGGGCGCGUAGGCGGUCAGCACAAGUCAGUUGUGAAAUCUCCGGGCUUAACUCGGAAAGGUCAACUGAUACUGUGCGACUAGAGUGCGGAAGGGGCAACUGGAAUUCUCGGUGUAGCGGUGAAAUGCGUAGAUAUCGGGAGGAACACCGGUGGCGAAGGCGGGUCUCUGGGCAAUUCCUGACGCUGAGGCGCGAAAGCGUGGGGAGCAAACGGG
rnacentral:rRNA from 1 species